UACGGAGGGGGCAAGCGUUGUUCGGAAUCAUUGGGCGUAAAGGGCGCGUAGGCGGCCGUCCAAGUCGGGUGUGAAAUCCCUCGGCUCAACCGAGGAACUGCACUCGAUACUGGUUGGCUAGAGUCCGGGAGGGGAUGGUGGAAUUCCCAGUGUAGCGGUGAAAUGCGUAGAUAUUGGGAAGAACACCGGUGGCGAAGGCGGCCAUCUGGACCGGAACUGACGCUGAGGCGCGAAAGCGUGGGGAGCAAACAGG
rnacentral:rRNA from 1 species